UACGGGGGGGGCAAGCGUUGUUCGGAAUUACUGGGCGUAAAGGGCUCGUAGGCGGCCAUCUAAGUCAGCCGUGAAAUCCCUCGGCUUAACCGGGGAACUGCGGCUGAUACUGGAUGGCUAGAGGUUGGGAGAGGGAUGCGGAAUUCCAGGUGUAGCGGUGAAAUGCGUAGAUAUCUGGAGGAACACCGGUGGCGAAGGCGGCAUCCUGGACCAAUUCUGACGCUGAGGAGCGAAAGCCAGGGGAGCAAACGGG
rnacentral:rRNA from 1 species